AACGACUCUCGGCAACGGAUAUCUCGGCUCUCGCAUCGAUGAAGAACGUAGCAAAAUGCGAUACUUGGUGUGAAUUGCAGAAUCCCGUGAACCAUCGAGUCUUUGAACGCAAGUUGCGCCCGAAGCCUUCCGGCCGAGGGCACGUCUGCCUGGGCGUCACGCAU
rnacentral:rRNA from 1 species